rnacentral:rRNA from 1 species
CGGUAAUACGGAGGAUCCAAGCGUUAUCCGGAAUCAUUGGGUUUAAAGGGUCCGUAGGCGGUCAGGAUGCUCAGUGGUAGGCCAUUAGCGCUCAACGGUGGAACGGCCAUUGAUACUGUCUGACCCAAGCCAUUAGGAAGUAACUAGAAUAUGUAGUGUAGCGGUGAAAUGCUACUUAGGAGCAUGGAAUACCAAUUGCGAAGGCAGGUUACUACUAAUAUAUUGACGCUGAUGGACGAAAGCGUGGGUAGCGAACAGGAUUAGAUACCCUGGUAGUCUGCGCCGUAAACGAUGGAUACUAGCUGUUGGGAGCAAUCUCAGUGGCUAAGCGAAAGUGAUAAGUAUCCCACCUGGAGGAGUACGAACGUGGAUUUGAA